rnacentral:rRNA from 1 species
GACGAACGCUGGCGGCGUGCUUAACACAUGCAAGUCGAACGGAAAGGCCCUGAGUUUGUGGGGUGCUCGAGAGGCGAACGGGGGAGUAACACGCGUGUAACCUGCCCUUGACUUUGGGAGAACUUCAGGAAACAGGGGCUAAUACCGGAGAGGAGCUCCUGCUGCAUGGGGGGGGUUGGAAAGUUACGGCGGUUGGGGAUGGUCUCGCGGCUUAUCAGCUUGUUGGUGGGGUAGUGGCUGACCACGGCUUUGACGGGUAGCCGGCCUUGGAGGGUGACCGGCCACAAUGGUACUGCGGUACGCCCCAGACUCCUACGUGCCGCAGCAGUGGGGAGCAUUGCACAAUGGGCGGAAGCCUGAUGCAGCAGCGCCGCGUGCGGGAUGACGUCCUUCGGGUUGUGAACCGCUUUCGCCUGUGACGAAGCGUGAGUGACGGUAAUGGGUAAAGAAGCACCGGCUAACUACGUG